rnacentral:rRNA from 1 species
GUGAGGAAUAUUGGUCAAUGGACGAGAGUCUGAACCAGCCAAGUCGCGUGAAGGAAGACGGUUCUAUGAAUUGUAAACUUCUUUUGUGCAGGAAUAAAGUGGGUUACGUGUAACCUUUUGUAUGUACUGUACGAAUAAGGAUCGGCUAACUCCGUGCCAGCAGCCGCGGUAAUACGGAGGAUCCGAGCGUUAUCCGGAUUUAUUGGGUUUAAAGGGUGCGUAGGUGGAUUGAUAAGUCAGCGGUGAAAGUUUGCAGCUUAACUGUAAAAUUGCCGUUGAAACUGUCGGUCUUGAGUGCAAAUGAGGUAGGCGGAAUGUGUUGUGUAGCGGUGAAAUGCUUAGAUAUAACACAGAACUCCGAUUGCGAAGGCAGCUUACUGGGAUGCAACUGACACUGAUGCACGAAAGCGUGGGUAUCAAACAGGAUUAGACACCCCAGUAGUCC